rnacentral:tRNA from 1 species
UUCCUGAUAGCUCAGUUGGUAAAGAAUCUGCCUGCAAUGCAGGCGACCCCUGGUUCGAUCCCUGGUCAGGAAG